UCUCACCAGGAAUCCCUUGAGUCCAAGGUUAAUGAGACCAAGGCCACAGUCAAGUUCCAGUUGAAAAAGGUGCUUUGCAUGGGUGUUGCCGUUGGCCACCUGGGUAUGGAGGAGAAGCAGAUCUUCCAGAACGUGCAGAUGAGCGUGAACUUCCUCGUCUCUCUGUUGAAGAAGAAUUGGCAAAACGUAUGUGACGUGCCCUCUGCUAUACCUGCGCACAAUAUUUUCAACAACAUUUGGCUAUUGAUUGAUGGUUAUAUGUUAAAAUAGAUUACUGAUUCAUCUUUAUUUCUUGCAGGUGAGAUGCUUGUACCUGAAGAGCACGAUGGGAAAGGUGUACCGGUUGUUCUAGACUCUAGUCUUCUAGGAUUUCCAGGAGAUUGACAACUUGGGAACUUUUGUUGCUUUCUCAAUUAUCAAAUUUUCGUGCGGGACGAGUGACAAUUAUUGUCUUGUACUGAGAUGGUUUGUUCUAUUGUCUGGAACUUGAUGACAUUUUAUCCGUUGCCCCUGUGCCUUCCUACUGCUCUGCCUGCUGUCACAGCCAUCAGUUUAACGCUAGAUUCAGCAUUGGUCCAUUGG
rnacentral:lncRNA from 1 species